rnacentral:tRNA from 1 species
GUCUAGUUAGUUUAUAUAAAAUGUGAUGUUGAAGUUAUCAAGAAAAUAAUUUAUUUAUAGACA